CUACUUCCUGUUUGUUCGCGGCAUUCCCUUCAGUCUGUGGGAACAGCCAAGAGGAGUAAACCCUCAUGUCUGGAUGGCAAUUACUGAGUGAGACUCAUUAUUAAGAGACACAACGCAAAAGAUUUUAGCCGGCGGUUCCCUGCAGCAAGAGUGUGAGCUACACAUACAUCACCAAACUUGGUAUUGACUACUCUUUUAAAGUAUCUGUUACUUAUUUUUAAAUUAGAAAAUAAAAAUCUAUUUGUCAUUUUUUAAA